rnacentral:rRNA from 1 species
GACGAACGCUGGCGGCGUGCUUAACACAUGCAAGUCGAACGGAAAGGCCCUGCUUUUGUGGGGUUCUCGAUUGGCGAACGGGUGAGUAACACGUGAGUAACCUGCCCUUGACUUUGGGAUAACUUCAGGAAACUGGGGCUAAUACCGGAUAGGAGCUCCUGCUGCAUGGUGGGGGUUGGAAAUUUUCGGCGGUUGGGGAUGGACUCGCGGCUUAUCAGCUUGUUGGUGGGGUAGUGGCUUACCAAGGCUUUGACGGGUAGCCGGCAUGAGAGGGUGACCGGCCACAUUGGGACUGAGAUACGGACCAGACUCCUACGGGAGGCAGCAGUGGGGAAUAUUGCACAAUGGGCGGAAGCCUGAUGCAGAAACGCCGCGUGCGGGAUGACGGCCUUCGGGUUGUAAACCGCUUUCGCCUGUGACGAAGCGUGAGUGACGGUAAUGGGUAAAGAAGCACCGGCUAACUACGUG